GGAUGAAAAAUAGUACCUACCACAGGCCUGACAGAAAAUGAAUGGUAGUGGAUGUAAAACACCUGGCACAGUGCCUAAAGCAAGAAGAGCUCAUACAUGUUAGGAGCUGUCAUUGUGAUGCUGCUAUUGUUAUUGUCACAGUAGCUUUGUCCUAAAAGGACUUUCUCCCAAUAUAGUAUGCCUUUCCCCAGUGUAUCACACAGGCCAGGGGAAGGCAAUACAAGCCCUUCACUGGGAUUUCUGGAAACUGCUCCAGGAAGCCUGCCCUGGCCCUCACAUGAUUAUUUGUAAGGGCUGCAGAUGGUGGCAGUGCAAACAGGAGAUCCUGGUGCAGGGGAACUUUUGAAAGUCCUGACAGUUUCUCAAAGAACAAAGGCAGAAGAUGACGGCUUCUGACUCAAGGCUCCAGGCCUCUCUCUCAUCUCUCAUGUAUGUGGACAUCACUCAGGCCCAUCAGAUCCCAAGACUGCUGUCUGCUGACUGACAACAGAAAGAGAAAUUUAGAGCAUCUCUGCUUGGCAGUACUGACUUGGCGCUGCUGAGGACCUAUUUACAGUAGCAGUUGUCCUUCUGCUUUUUGCUCUGAGUGAAAGCAUCGUGUGGCAGGUGACAUGCUCUUGGUCUUCCCAACCUCCAGAACUGACAGGAAAAUGAGGCCUACCUACAAGAACAGACAAGCCCAAGGCCUCAGAGCUAACUCGUGGGCAGGCCAGAACUCAACCUUCUGCUCUCUGGUCCAUGCUUUCUCCAUAGAUCACACUGCCUGAAGAGGUACAGAGGAGAACCAGUGAUUGAUUAUAGCACUAGGGACACAAGCAGCAGAGAGAGACCCAGGAGAGAUCAUAAAGAAAGAGUAUGUGUGUUUGUGGUCAUUAAAUCACAAAGGUCAAACUAGUCGUUUGAUCAAGACUGAUUUUAUCAUUCAACCAGAAUCUCACUAUAGUAUUCACUGCCUUCAGGGUCUAUCUCAGGCAACUCUAUUUGUAGAUAAUCCUUGAUAAACAUGGUAGACAACUCAAAUACCCUCUAUGACCUUGGAGCAAGGUUCUAGUAUGGAGGAGGUACUCUAGUUCCUCAUCAUCCCCACUUACAAACUAGUAUUUGGAAGGAAUUAUCUUUAAUCUUUGGGUCAGAGUUCAAUGUCCUAGAGAAAUAGUAUUAUUAAUGGUGGUGAGUUUCUGAGAGUAGUCCAGGGAGGCCUAUUUGACACAUAGUUUAAAAUGCUACUAAAAGAAUCACUCUUCUUUCAGGAAGAGAAAAUUAAAGCACUGGGCUGAUGCUUCUGAAGGUGUAGAAGCUGAUGAAAGGUACCAACAGGAAAAAAGUAAACAUGGAAAAAUUAUCAUAAUAAGCGUGAGCUUGUGAACAUAAACUGAUGUAAGCCAGAGACUUCACCAGCUCUGUAACACUGAGCUGAAACACGUUUUGUCUAUGGCCCUAGGUGUAUGUCCCUGGGGCUAGG